rnacentral:rRNA from 1 species
AUGCCUGUACCAUAACCGACACAGGUGGGUAAGUAGAGUAUACUAAGGGGCGCGAGAUAACUCUCUCUAAGGAACUCGGCAAAAUAACUCCGUAACUUCGGGAGAAGGAGUGCCUUAUUCUUAAGGUUGCAAUAACAAGAUCCAAGCAACUGUUUAUCAAAAACACAGGUCUCCGCUAAGUCGUAAGACGAUGUAUGGGGGCUGACGCCUGCCCAGUGCCAGAAGGUUAAAGAAGUCGGUUAGCAAUAGCAAAGCUGGUAACUGAAGCCCUGGUGAACGGCGGCCGUAACGAUAACGGUCCUAAGGUAGCGAAAUUCCUUGUCGGGUAAGUUCCGACCCGCACGAAAGGCGUAAUGAUUUGGAUGCUGUCUCGGAGAGGGGCUCGGUGAAAUAGACUUGUCUGUGAAGAUGCGGACUACCUGCACCAGGACAGAAAGACCCUAUGAAGCUUUACUGUAACUUGAAAUUGAAAUUAGACUUUAUUCGCGCAGUAUAGGUGGGAGGCGUUGAUUAUAAUCUUGUGGGAUUAUUGGAGCCAUCAGUGAGAUACCACUCUUGUAAUGUUAGAUUUCUAACUUUGAAUCAUUAUCUGGUCAAAGGACAGUUUCAGGCGGGCAGUUUGACUGGGGCGGUCGCCUCCUAAACGGUAACGGAGGCGUACAAAGGUUUCCUCUGAACGGUUAGAAAUCGUAUCUAGAGUGUAAAGGCAUAAGGAAGCUUGACUGUGAGACCUACAAGUCGAGCAGGGACGAAAGUCGGUCUUAGUGAUCUGACGGUACUGAGUGGAAAGGCCGUCACUCAACGGAUAAAAGUUACUCUAAGGAUAACAGGCUGAUCUCCCCCAAGAGUUCACAUCGACGGGGAGGUUUGGCACCUCGAUGUCGGCUCAUCGCAUCCUGGGGCGGUAGUACGUCCCAAGGGUUGGGCUGUUCGCCCAUGAAAGCGGUACGCGAGCUGGGUUCAGAACGUCGUGAGACAGUUCGGUCCAUAUCCGGUGUAGGCGCUAGAAUAUUGAGAGGAGCCUUCUUUAGUACGAGAGGACCGAGAAGGACAUACCUCUGGUGUACCAGUUAUCGUGCCAACGGUAAACGCUGGGUAGCUAUGUAUGGAGUGGAUAACCGCUGAAAGCAUCUAAGUGGGAAGCCCACCUCAAGAUAAGUAUUCUCAUCACGUAAGUGAGUAAGGUCACGGUAAGACUAACCGUUUGAUAGGCAUUAAGUGUAAGUACAGUAAUGUAUGUGCUGAGAUGUCCUAAUAGACCGAGGAC